CGAACAGGGAGGUACAGAAUUGCUGGCAGGAUGAUGGCUGUGUGUCUCCUGCAUGGAGGUGUUGCACCAAAUUGCUUUUCUCAAAGAACGUACAACAUGGUGGCAGGAAGACCUAAUCACCCGGUAAAAUUAAAUGAAAUCCACAAUACUGAACUCCAUGACAGGCUGGAAAAGAUACAGAAUGCUGCUACUGUUGAAGAAGCAAGAUUGGCCAUUUUUGAUGCUUCAGAAAGCUUGUCAAUCCUUGGAGCAUUACGGCACAUUAAAGACCUUGAUUUGGUCCUUGAAGCUGCCCAGGAUUACUUUGAGGGGAGAGUAAAAGUAGGACUGGAACAGUUGGCAGAAGGUUUGGAGACAUUUGGCUUAGCAGAGGCUAUCCGUAAGCACCCCUCCGAAUUUGAAGGUCUGUUUUUAAAAUCUUCAAAAUCCUUAGUGGCCAAGGAUCUAAUAAGUCUGUUUCAGCCCAACUUUUCACCACGUGGAAGCAACCGGCGGCGUGAGGAGAACAGAGUUCUUUGCUUUUGGAGAGACUGGCUAAUUAACGUG